UUUUAAAUUUGGCAGAAAAAUGCGUUUGACUUAGAAUCAUAUUAUAAACUUUGUUUAAUUUCAAAA
rnacentral:tRNA from 1 species